GACGAACGCUGGCGGCGUGCUUAACACAUGCAAGUCGAACGGAAAGGCCCUGCUUUUGUGGGGUGCUCGAGUGGCGAACGGGUGAGUAACACGUGAGUAACCUGCCCUUGACUUUGGGAUAACUUCAGGAAACUGGGGCUAAUACCGGAUAGGAGCUCCUGCUGCAUGGUGGGGGUUGGAAAGUUUCGGCGGUUGGGGAUGGACUCGCGGCUUAUCAGCUUGUUGGUGGGGUAGUGGCUUACCAAGGCUUUGACGGGUAGCCGGCCUGGGAGGGUGACCGGCCACAUUGGGACUGAGAUACGGCCCAGACUCCUACGGGAGGCAGCAGUGGGGAAUAUUGCACAAUGGGCGGAAGCCUGAUGCAGCAACGCCGCGUGCGGGAUGACGGCCUUCGGGUUGUAAACCGCUUUCGCCUGUGACGAAGCGUGAGUGACGGUAAUGAGUAAAGAAGCACCGGCUAACUACGUG
rnacentral:rRNA from 1 species